UAGUCUACGCAGUAAACGAUGGGCACUAGGUGGUGGGAACGCCGAUAGUUUUCUCCGCCGUAGCUAAUGCGUUAAGUGCCCCGCCUGGGGAGUAUGGUCGCAAGAUUAAAACUCAAAGGAAUUGACGGGGGCCCACACAAGCGGUGGAGGAUGCGGCUUAAUUCGAGGACACGCGUAGAACCUUACCGAGGCUUGACAUGCAGGGAUUAACCCAGUGAAAGCUGGGGGAUUGCCUUACGGUGUAACCUGCACAGGUGCUGCAUGGCUGUCGACAGUUCGUGUCGUGAGAUGUUAGGUUAAGUCCUGUAACGAGCGAAACCCCUGUGCUUAGUUGCCAGCGCGUUAUGGCGGGGACUCUAAGCAGACUGCCCCGGCAACGGGGAGGAAGGCGGGGAUGACGUCAAGUCCUCAUGGCCCUUAUGUCCAGGGCUACACACGUGCUACAAUGGUAAAUACAGAGGGCAGCGACCUUGCGAAAGGGNGCGAAUCCCAAAAGUUUAUCUCAGUCCGGAUUCGG
rnacentral:rRNA from 1 species